UUACGGCCACAUCACGUUGAAACACCGUUUCCCGUAUUAUCAUCAAAGUUAAGCAACGUCGAGCUUGGUCAGUACCUAGAUGGGUGAGCGGUUGGUAACACCAGGUGCUGUAAG